UUUCCCAAAGCGGAUCCAGCUACCAAAGCAACAUUGCAAUCGAUGACAUUGGCGUGGCCGCCGGGAAAUGUUAGGAGGUUGAAAACCAACUCGGAGGAAUUCACGAUUUCAGACGAAGUAACAACUUCUCGAUCAAGUUUCUCACAGGAUCUGUCCUAGUUUCGUUUUUUUCUUUUUGAAAAUUAUGUUUCGGAUGUUCUCAUAAUGAAUAGUUUUAGGUUUCACAUUUGGGUAACUUUAAUUUAGUCUAGGUUGAGUUUUGGGGUAUGAUGUAAACAAAGAAUAUGGAUUCAAGAUAAUUUCAAAGAAAUGACGUUCACCCAUAUUUCAAAAGUUAAUUAUUUGUUGCAGUUUCCAUCAUUGCGCGAUCCUUUCAAUGAUGCUCAAUGCAAAGCCUAUUUUGCCACGAGUAGUAAAUUUGGCUUGCACUACAUAAUACAAUGUUGUUUCAAACAUGAGGCCGACACAAAAACGCGAGCAGGUAGGCCAAGGUAGCUUCAGUCAUUAUAUUUGUUCUCUUUAAUAAGAUUGUUUUGUUGUAUUUAACUUGUUACGAUUACUCUGGGUUUUUGGGGAGUCUGUUUUGUUCAUUUAUAUGUAGUACUCAGUGUUUUGUUUUGUUUUGUUUUGUUUUUCUUCUUUUUUUCACAAACAAAAUUAACCUAGCCCUGGAUUAAGUCUAAUAAAUUUCUUAUUUGGUUGGUAACAUACCGUACUCUGCAACUGGAACUCCAAUGACAAAAACUAACAAUGACGUGCGCCACCAAGAGGUUUUACUAGGUUAGCCCUUUUCUGCAACGCAUUAUGGAUAACGGAGGCGACAGGUUUUCCGGCUUUUUGGACGAACACGAUUUAAGUCGAAAUUCACUAGACCUCAUAGUGCAUUUUGUGAUCUGUACUGUAUGUGUACGGCGUGUGAUAAUGAAGGACGGACGAUUAAAUUAGGCCAACAUGAUAACGUCUACCCUGAAGUGGCUCGUUGAAUCAAACGCUUGAUGGCGCACUUGCUUUGAGGUCGUGUUCGAAAUGGGUAGGCCCCCUAAUCAGAGCAUAGGGUUACAACUAAUUUUCGUCUUCUUCACACGUAGUUUUAAUUGUCGAAGACAUAGACAGUAGGGUUGGACACAAGAUUCGAACCAGGAUUACUUGCAGUGAGUGAACAUUACGAACCAGAAUCACCGCUUAUCCAAAAAAAAAUCAAGGGGAUCAUUAAACGCUGGUGGACGCUCUUUAAUAUUUUACGAAUCCCGUAAGCCUGGAAAGGAGAUGGUAGCAUCAGUUCGGAAACGGUCUCUUUUUCAAUACCGGUGUAAUUAAGAAUUACAUAAAUGACCCAUUGCUUAUUCAGGUGCGGUUUAUUUUGUUUAUUAACUUCUUAUUUUGAAGUAAGUUAUUUCUUUUGUUUUAUUAAAUUCACCGCAUUUCAUUUAAUUCUAUUUUACUCAAUAAGGUGGAGGGUUUGAAUUUAAUUCUAUUCACUUUUUGUCGUGAUUCUAUGUUAAUUUAUUUCGAAGUGAUUGACAUUAAAACUUUCAAGCAGCA